GUGACUGUCUUCCACGGUUGAAGUAAAAUGAUAACAGAAAACACAAAAUAAGACGAGUAAAGUCAUAUAAAGUGACUGUAAUAUUUCCUGUUUGUCACAACAAUUCAGUGCCAUCUUUCGAGCAAGUAUUUAGACGAAUAAAACCAAUUCGUUUAGGAAGUUCAGAAGACGUUUCAAAUUUACCUUACUCUUCCUUCCUUUAAACCUAUCAAUCAACUUUGAACAAGCCUGCUUUGAUAGCAUCUCAGGC
rnacentral:misc_RNA from 1 species